AUGAGGCACUAUUUUGUGGAUAAUCCCGUAUACCCCGAAUCGUACUUCCGGCGCCGUUUUAGGAUGAGCACCGAGCUGUUCAGGCACAUUGCAGAGAAACUGGUGAGCCAUGAUCGGGUUUUUCAGCAAAGGAGGAAUGUCGCCGGAGAACUCGGGCAUAGCACCUUUUAAAAGGUGACAGGCGCUUUGCGUAUGUUGGCAUACGGUAUUCCGGCUGAUCUAAUUUAUGACCACUUGGCCAUGGGUGAGAGUCAAGCCAUCAUAUUUGUUUGA
rnacentral:rRNA from 1 species